rnacentral:rRNA from 1 species
GACGAACGCUGGCGGCGUGCCUAACACAUGCAAGUCGAACGGAGUUAAGUGCUUCGGUAUUUAACUUAGUGGCGAACGGGUGAGUAACGCGUGAGAAACCUGCCUUUCAGAGGGGGACAACAGUUGGAAACGACUGCUAAUACCGCAUAAGCCCACAGCUCGGCAUCGAGCAGAGGGAAAAGGAGUGAUCCGCUUUGAGAUGGCCUCGCGUCCGAUUAGCUAGUUGGUGAGGUAACGGCCCACCAAGGCAACGAUCGGUAGCCGGACUGAGAGGUUGAACGGCCACAUUGGGACUGAGACACGGCCCAG